UACGAAGGGGGCUAGCGUUGUUCGGAAUUACUGGGCGUAAAGCGCACGUAGGCGGGUUCUUAAGUCGGUGGUGAAAUCCUGGAGCUCAACUCCAGAACUGCCUUCGAAACUGGGAAUCUUGAGUCCGGGAGAGGUGAGUGGAACUGCGAGUGUAGAGGUGAAAUUCGUAGAUAUUCGCAAGAACACCAGUGGCGAAGGCGGCUCACUGGCCCGGUACUGACGCUGAGGCGCGAAAGCGUGGGGAGCAAACAGG
rnacentral:rRNA from 1 species